CCCAAAGAUAAAAUGAGAAGAUUGAACGGUUACAAGUUUGUCUCUGAACAGGGCAACAUAUACAACCCAGACAAGUUACAAAUCAGAGAGUACCCAUAAAUUAAGUUGGAAGUCGUGAAAAAAUAAAAAGAGAAAGGCAACCAAAUAUUGAAUUUCAAUGAAGUACAGUUACGCCCCUUGUUCCAGUUAAUAUAUCUACCGUCCACUUAGAAAAAUUGCCCCCAAUUACCCCCACCUUAUAUAUGGAGGUGCUCUACCAAGGGAAAAAUGGACCAAUGAUACAAUGUAGGUUCCUAAACUCAACCGAAAGAGGUCGAACCAAGGGCACUGGCAACAACAAAUUUUUCUGCUCAAGCUCCUGUACCAGCAAAUUAACGUGUACGCUACAAGGCCUCGGUUCCUUUUUCUCUGUCCUCUAGCCUGCAAUGCUGAGAUCAAGCA
rnacentral:misc_RNA from 1 species